rnacentral:rRNA from 1 species
UACGAAGGGGACUAGCGUUGUUCGGAAUUACUGGGCGUAAAGCGCACGUAGGCGGCUUUGUAAGUUAGAGGUGAAAGCCCGGGGCUCAACUCCGGAAUUGCCUUUAAGACUGCAUCGCUAGAAUUGUGGAGAGGUAAGUGGAAUUCCGAGUGUAGAGGUGAAAUUCGUAGAUAUUCGGAAGAACACCAGUGGCGAAGGCGACUUACUGGACACAUAUUGACGCUGAGG